AGUGAACGCUGGCGGUAGGCCUAACACAUGCAAGUCGAACGGCAGCACAGGAGAGCUUGCUCUCUGGGUGGCGAGUGGCGGACGGGUGAGGAAUACAUCGGAAUCUACUUUUUCGUGGGGGAUAACGUAGGGAAACUUACGCUAAUACCGCAUACGACCUACGGGUGAAAGCAGGGGAUCUUCGGACCUUGCGCGAUUGAAUGAGCCGAUGUCGGAUUAGCUAGUUGGCGGGGUAAAGGCCCACCAAGGCGACGAUCCGUAGCUGGUCUGAGAGGAUGAUCAGCCACACUGGAACUGAGACACGGUCCAGACUCCUACGGGAGGCAGCAGUGGGGAAUAUUGGACAAUGGGCGCAAGCCUGAUCCAGCCAUACCGCGUGGGUGAAGAAGGCCUUCGGGUUGUAAAGCCCUUUUGUUGGGAAAGAAAUCCAGCUGGUUAAUACCCGGUUGGGAUGACGGUACCCAAAGAAUAAGCACCGGCUAACUUCGUGCCAGCAGCCGCAUAAG
rnacentral:rRNA from 1 species